rnacentral:ncRNA from 1 species
AAGAGCCGUAUGAUGGGAGACUAUCACAUACGGUUCUGUGAGAGGCUCGGGUGAAACUCCCCUUGUCUACUCGAC